UCUUCGCUUUUCCCAAUACAAACGCAGAGAUAUCGUGAUCUCUCCAACUCUUAUCACUUCCGGCGAUCUCUCUCUCUCUCCGACGUUCAAUGGACGCCGUCGUCCACGCUUGUCCACUCUCCAUCACGCGCCUACGCGCACCGCCCUCACUUUCUUCUCCAACUCUUAUCCCUCCGAGAUUCCUCUCCAUCCACUCCACCUUCUCUCCCACUCUCAGCUCCCUCUCCAAAUCCCGAGGUCCUUCAGCUUCCUCCGCCGGCGCCACGUUGAUGGCGAAGUCCUCUUCGCCAAGAAGUGGAGUGUAUACUGUUGGUGAGUUCAUGACCAAGAAGGAUGCCUUGCAUGUGGUCAAACCUACCACCACUGUUGAUGAAGCUCUAGAAAUCCUUGUGGAGAAUAGGAUUACAGGAUUUCCUGUGAUAGACCAAGACUGGAAGCUGGUUGGGCUUGUUUCAGAUUAUGAUUUGUUGGCUUUGGACUCCAUCUCUGGUAGUGGAAGUACAGAAAAUGCCAUGUUCCCUGAGGUUGACAGCACCUGGAAAACUUUCAACGCAGUGCAAAAGCUACUAAGCAAAACCAAUGGGAAGCUUGUUGGAGAUUUAAUGACACCAGCUCCAGUUGUUGUUGAGGAAAAUACCAACCUCGAAGAUGCUGCUAAAAUCUUGCUCGAGACCAAAUAUCGCCGGCUCCCUGUGGUAGAUUCUGAUGGCAAAUUGGUUGGUAUUAUCACAAGAGGAAACGUGGUUAGAGCCGCACUUCAAAUAAAGCGCACUGGUGAUAGGAACGCUUGAAUAAGAAUACAAAUUAAGCCAAGAAAACAGGUUGUAGAGAGGAAAUCAACAUGGAUCAAACAUUAAUUAUCCAGAUAAUAAGAAUGAGUACUCAACAGUACUAGAAAUAUAGUAACUUGUAUUACAGGAGUUCCGCAUCUUAUGUCGGUCACAAGGAACUCAGCUUUUGUUGAAUUCUGUCUGGUCAAGACAGUGUGAAAAGAUGGAGCAAUGGGAGUGGAAUAAUCACGAAGUCUCUAUGGUCUUGCGGUCUCGUCUUGUGUCACGGAGCUUUCAGAGUCACGGAGUGAAAGUGUAAUAGUACUUCUGGUCUUAGAGUCUUGUGGUCUUGAAGUCUUGUUAUCUUGGAGUCUAGUGGUCUUGGAGUGUUGUAGUACUUGAGUCAAGGAGUAAAAGUGUAGUAGUCUUUUAGUACUUGUGUCACGAGUCUUGGUAUGUAGUCGUGGAGUGUUGUUGUAGUCUUGUAGUACUUCUGUCACGGGUCUUGUAUCAGACUUUGGUUCCCAAUCUCUAUAUAUUAACUCAUGUUGCGUUGA